rnacentral:rRNA from 1 species
AUGUUAUCACGGGAGACACACGGCGGGUGCUAACGUCCGUCGUGAAGAGGGAAACAACCCAGACCGCCAGCUAAGGUCCCAAAGUCAUGGUUAAGUGGGAAACGAUGUGGGAAGGCCCAGACAGCCAGGAUGUUGGCUUAGAAGCAGCCAUCAUUUAAAGAAAGCGUAAUAGCUCACUGGUCGAGUCGGCCUGCGCGGAAGAUGUAACGGGGCUAAACCAUGCACCGAAGCUGCGGCAGCGAACGUAUCACUUAAAGCGAUUCAGCGGGUUACGAUUGACGGAGCGAAGCGACGUCAAAGCGUAUACAAAGUCGAGUCGGUUUAAGGAUACGUUCGUUGGGUAGGGGAGCGUUCUGUAAGCCUGYGAAGGUGUGUCGUGAGGCAUGCUGGAGGUAUCAGAAGUGCGAAUGCUGACAUAAGUAACGAUAAAGCGGGUGAAAAGCCCGCUCGCCGGAAGACCAAGGGUUCCUGUCCAACGUUAAUCGGGGCAGGGUGAGUCGACCCCUAAGGCGAGGCCGAAAGGCGUAGUCGAUGGGAAACGGGUUAAUAUUCCCGUACUUGGUGUUACUGCGAAGGGGGGACGGAGAAGGCUAUGUUGGCCGGGCGACGGUUGUCCCGGUUUAAGCGUGUAGGGUGUA